AGAGUUUGAUCAUGGCUCAGAAUGAACGCUGGCGGCGUGCUUAACACAUGCAAGUCGCACGAGAACGCUUCAGCUUGCUGAAGCUAGUAAAGUGGCGCACGGGUGAGUAACGCGUGGGUAAUCUAUCUCUGAAUUGGGGAUAACAUUGCGAAAGCGAUGCUAAUACCGGAUGAUAUCCAUUAAACCUCGGAUUUUUGGAUCAAAGGUGGCCUCUACAUGUAAGCUACUGUUUGGAGACGAGCCCGCGUACCAUUAGCUUGUUGGUAGGGUAACGGCUUACCAAGGCAACGAUGGUUAGCUGGUCUGAGAGGAUGAUCAGCCACACUGGAACUGACACACGGUCCAGACUCCUACGGGAGGCAGCAGUGAGGAAUUUUGCGCAAUGGGGGAAACCCUGACGCAGCAACGCCGCGUGAGUGAUGAAGGCUUUCGGGUCGUAAAGCUCUGUCAAGUGGGAAGAACCCGCGCCGCACAAAUAGUGCGGGGCGCUGACGGUACCACUGAAGGAAGCACCGGCUAACUCCGUGCCAGCAGCCGCGGUAAUACGGGGGGUGCAAGCGUUAUUCGGAAUCAUUGGGCGUAAAGAGCGCGUAGGCGGUCUUCUAUGUCAGGUGUGAAAGCCCGGGGCUCAACCCCGGAAGUGCACUUGAAACUGGGAGACUUGAGUAUGGGAGAGGGAAGUGGAAUUCCUGGUGUAGCGGUGAAAUGCGUAGAUAUCAGGAGGAACACCGGUGGCGAAGGCGACUUCCUGGACCAAUACUGACGCUGAGGCGCGAAGGCGUGGGGAGCAAACAGGAUUAGAUACCCUAGUAGUCC
rnacentral:rRNA from 1 species